rnacentral:rRNA from 1 species
UGCCAGCCGCCGCGGUAAUACGAAAGGUGCGAGCGUUAAUCGGAAUUACUGGGCGUAAAGCGCGCGUAGGUGGUGUGUUAAGUCGGAUGUGAAAGCCCUGGGCUUAACCGGUGACCUGCAUUUGAAACUGUUGAAAUAGAGUAUAGGAGAGGAAAGUGGAAUUCCUGGUGUAGCGGUGACAUGCGUAGAUAUCAGGAGGAACAUCAAUGGCGAAGGCAGCUUUCUGGCCUAUUACUGACGCUGAGGGACGAAAGCGUGGGGAGCGAACAGGAUUAGAUA